CAGCCACAACAAUUUGAAACCCUGGUUCCCAUAUGAUCACUGAAGUUAAGCAAUGUCAAUCAUGGCCAGUACCUAGAUGGGUGAUUGCUCGGGAAUACCAGGUGCUGUAAG
rnacentral:rRNA from 1 species